GAUGAACGCUGGCGGCGUGCCUAAUACAUGCAAGUCGAGCGAACGGACGAGAAGCUUGCUUCUCUGAUGUUAGCGGCGGACGGGUGAGUAACACGUGGAUAACCUACCUAUAAGACUGGGAUAACUUCGGGAAACCGGAGCUAAUACCGGAUAAUAUUUUGAACCGCAUGGUUCAAAAGUGAAAGACGGUCUUGCUGUCACUUAUAGAUGGAUCCGCGCUGCAUUAGCUAGUUGGUAAGGUAACGGCUUACCAAGGCAACGAUGCAUAGCCGACCUGAGAGGGUGAUCGGCCACACUGGAACUGAGACACGGCCCAGACUCCUACGGGAGGCAGCAGUAGGGAAUCUUCCGCAAUGGGCGAAAGCCUGACGGAGCAACGCCGCGUGAGUGAUGAAGGUCUUCGGAUCGUAAAACUCUGUUAUUAGGGAAGAACAUAUGUGUAAGUAACUGCGCACAUCUUGACGGUACCUAAUCAGAAAGCCACGGCUAACUACGUG
rnacentral:rRNA from 1 species